AGUCGUUGGGUUCAAUGAUAUUUUAUUUGCAAUAAAAAGGCUGAAAACUUAAUUUUGGGUGGCAG
rnacentral:tRNA from 1 species